rnacentral:rRNA from 1 species
UACGUAGGGUGCGAGCGUUAAUCGGAAUUACUGGGCGUAAAGCGUGCGUAGGCGGUCCGCAAAGUCUGAUGUGAAAGCCCCGGGCUCAACCUGGGAACUGCAUUGGAAACUAACGGGCUCGAGUGUGGCAGAGGGGGGUGGAAUUCCACGUGUAGCAGUGAAAUGCGUAGAGAUGUGGAGGAACACCGAUGGCGAAGGCAGCCCCCUGGGCUAACACUGACGCUCAGGCACGAAAGAGUGGGGAGCAAACAGG